rnacentral:rRNA from 1 species
UAAGGAAUAUUGGUCAAUGGACGCAAGUCUGAACCAGCCAUGCCGCGUGAAGGAUGAAGGUCCUCUGGAUUGUAAACUUCUUUUAUCUGGGACGAAAACGGGAUUUUUAUCUCAAUUGACGGUACCAGAGGAAUAAGCACCGGCUAACUCCGUGCCAGCAGCCGCGGUAAUACGGAGGGUGCGAGCGUUAUCCGGAUUUACUGGGUUUAAGGGGUGCGUAGGUGGGCUUAUAAGUCAGUGGUGAAAUCUCCGAGCUUAACUUGGAAACUGCCGUUGAUACUAUAGGUCUUGAAUUAUCUGGAGGUAAGCGGAAUAUGUCAUGUAGCGGUGAAAUGCUUAGAUAUGACAUAGAACACCAAUUGCGAAGGCAGCUUACUACAUAUAAAUUGACGCUGAGGCACGAAAGCGUGGGGAUCAAACA